rnacentral:rRNA from 1 species
AACGCGAAGAACCUUACCUGGGCUCGAAGCGCAGUGGACCGGGGUAGAAAUAUCCCUUCCUCGCAAGAGGCUGCUGCGGAGGUGCUGCAUGGCUGUCGUCAGCUCGUGUCGUGAGAUGUUGGGUUAAGUCCCGCAACGAGCGCAACCCUUAUCCCUAGUUGCCAUCGGGUCAAGCCGGGCACUCUAGUGAAACCGCCCAGGAUAACUGGGAGGAAGGUGGGGAUGACGUCAAGUCCUCAUGGCCUUUAUGUCCAGGGCUACACACGUGCUACAAUGGACGGUACAAAGGGCUGCCAACCCGCGAGGGGGAGCCAAUCCCAAAAAACCGUUCUCAGUUCGGAUUGCAGGCUGCAACUCGCCUGCAUGAAGCUGGAAUCGCUAGUAAUGGUGGAUCAGAACGCACCGUGAAUACGUUCCCGGGCUUGUACACACCGGCUAC